rnacentral:rRNA from 1 species
AUUGGUCAAUGGGCGCAAGCCUGAACCAGCCAUGUCGCGUGCAGGAUGACGGCCUACGGGUUGUAAACUGCUUUUUUACGGGAAUAAAUCUCUCUACGUGUAGAGAGUUGAAGGUACCGUAUGAAUAAGGAUCGGCUAACUCCGUGCCAGCAGCCGCGGUAAUACGGAGGAUUCGAGCGUUAUCCGGAUUUAUUGGGUUUAAAGGGUGCGUAGGCGGAGGAUUAAGUCAGUGGUGAAAUCUCACAGCUCAACUGUGAAACUGCCAUUGAAACUGAUUUUCUUGAAUACGGUUGAGGUAGGCGGAAUACGUUAUGUAGCGGUGAAAUGCUUAGAUAUAACGUAGAACACCAAUUGCGAAGGCAGCUUACUAAGCCGUUAUUGACGCUGAGGCACGAAAGCGUGGGGAGCGAACAGGAUUAGAUACCCUGGUAGUCCACGCCGUAAACGAUGAUCACUCGUUGU